GACACGACAUACAUGUGUUCAUGAGCAUAAAGUCACAUGGGAACAAAAAUAAAGAAGGAAGGAAAAUGGGUUUGAAAUUAAAAUAAAAAAAGAAGAAAAGGUCAAAGUGUUCCAUGUGAACGUUGCAUGACAGAAUAAUUCUCAGGGGAUGAUACCUUCUGUCUUUUGUCAGUUUCACGUGUACAGAUGCGCACCCUCUUUGGCAUUUAUUUUGCAUAUUAUGCAUCACUGAUUCUCAUAGUUUAUCUUCAUAUUCGGUACAAAAUGUGAAGUGUUUUCAUGCACUCACACCUAAAGCUGCCUCAGGAUGAUGUCACCAACAGUUCUGAUCAUCAUGUUGGUUUUCAUGACUCAAGAAUCUUCUGCAAACAAUUUUCUGACUCAGUCAGAUAAAGUCAAGUCUGUCAGUCUUGGAGGGACUGUGACCAUCAGCGCCACAGGAAGCUCCAACAUUGGGGCUGAUCUCAGUUGGUACCUUCAGAAACCUGGACAGGCUCCCAAACUUCUUAUAUACGUAGCAUCAACUCUGUUCUCAGGAACUCCAUCUCGAUUCAGUGGCACUCGCUCUGGUUCUCAGUACUCUCUGACUAUCACUGGUGUUCAGCAGGAAGAUGUUGGAGAUUACUACUGUCUCGGUAACCAUGGUGGUGGAGUGUUCACACAGUGAUUUAGAGCCGUACAAAAACCUCCCUCAGUUUGAGGACAUUAAAAACAGCCUGCUGCAGCUGCUGUGGUUUGAACAGGAAACUGUGACGAGGACGACGAGUCCAGUGAACGCAGCACCGCAGUGAACGUGUGUCAUCAACCAGAACCACAACUCCUCCAAUAAAAACACUAAUAUGGCAAAUUUAAUGAAC